AAAAAGGCAAACCCUGGAUUUCCGUGCCAACGUUUGACUGUCCGUCUUAUAUGAAUUUUUUUAAUAAUUAGUAUUUUCAUUGUUGUUAGAUGAUAAAACAUGAUAAUAUUUUAUGCGUGACUUAUCUUUUUAAUUUUUUUCAUAAUUUUUUUAAAUAAGACGGACGGUCAAACAUUGGACACGGAAACCAGAGUUUGUCUUUUUG
rnacentral:pre_miRNA from 1 species